GACGAACGCUGGCGGCGUGCUUAACACAUGCAAGUCGAACGGUGAAGGGACUGGUUUUGCUGGUCCUGGAUGAGUGGCGAACGGGUGAGUAACACGUGAGUAACCUGCCCCCUUCUUCUGGAUAACCGCAUGAAAGUGUGGCUAAUACGGGAUAUUCUGGGUCUGUCGCAUGGUGGGCCUGGGAAAGAUUGCGCCUUUUUUGGUGUUCUUGGUGGGGGAUGGGCUCGCGGCCUAUCAGCUUGUUGGUGGGGUGAUGGCCUACCAAGGCGGUGACGGGUAGCCGGCCUGAGAGGGUGGACGGUCACACUGGGACUGAGACACGGCCCAGACUCCUACGGGAGGCAGCAGUGGGGAAUAUUGCACAAUGGGCGCAAGCCUGAUGCAGCGACGCCGCGUGAGGGAUGGAGGCCUUCGGGUUGUGAACCUCUUUCGCCAGUGAAGCAGGCCUGCCUCUUUUUGUGGGUGGGUUGACGGUAGCUGGAUAAGAAGCGCCGGCUAACUACGUG
rnacentral:rRNA from 1 species